rnacentral:rRNA from 1 species
CUGAAUAUGGGGGGACCAUCCUCCAAGGCUAAAUACUCCUGACUGACCGAUAGUGAACCAGUACCGUGAGGGAAAGGCGAAAAGAACCCCGGCGAGGGGAGUGAAAAAGAACCUGAAACCGUGUACGUACAAGCAGUGGGAGCACAGAGCAAUCUGUGUGACUGCGUACCUUUUGUAUAAUGGGUCAGCGACUUAUAUUCUGUAGCAAGGUUAACCGAAUAGGGGAGCCGAAGGGAAACCGAGUCUUAACUGGGCGUUAAGUUGCAGGGUAUAGACCCGAAACCCGGUGAUCUAGCCAUGGGCAGGUUGAAGGUUGGGUAACACUAACUGGAGGACCGAACCGACUAAUGUUGAAAAAUUAGCGGAUGACUUGUGGCUGGGGGUGAAAGGCCAAUCAAACCGGGAGAUAGCUGGUUCUCCCCGAAAGCUAUUUAGGUAGCGCCUCGUGAAUUCAUCUCCGGGGGUAGAGCACUGUUUCGGCAAGGGGGUCAUCCCGACUUACCAACCCGAUGCAAACUGCGAAUACCGGAGAAUGUUAUCACGGGAGACACACGGCGGGUGCUAACGUCCGUCGUGAAGAGGGAAACAACCCAGACCGCCAGCUAAGGUCCCAAAGUCAUGGUUAAGUGGGAAACGAUGUGGGAAGGCCCAGACAGCCAGGAUGUUGGCUUAGAAGCAGCCAUCAUUUAAAGAAAGCGUAAUAGCUCACUGGUCGAGUCGGCCUGCGCGGAAGAUGUAACGGGGCUAAACCAUGCACCGAAGCUGCGGCAGCGACACUGUGUGUUGUUGGGUAGGGGAGCGU